rnacentral:rRNA from 1 species
GAUGAACGCUGGCGGCGUGCCUAAUACAUGCAAGUCGGGCGAACGGACGAGAAGCUUGCUUCUCUGAUGUUAGCGGCGGACGGGUGAGUAACACGUGGAUAACUUACCUAUAAGACUGGGAUAACUUCGGGAAACCGGAGCUAAUACCGGAUAAUAUUUUGAACCGCAUGGUUCAAAAGUGAAAGACGGUCUUGCUGUCACUUAUAGAUGGAUCCGCGCUGCAUUAGCUAGUUGGUAAGGUAACGGCUUACCAAGGCAACGAUGCAUAGCCGACCUGAGAGGGUGAUCGGCCACACUGGAACUGAGACACGGUCCAGACUCCUACGGGAGGCAGCAGUAGGGAAUCUUCCGCAAUGGGCGAAAGCCUGACGGAGCAACGCCGCGUGAGUGAUGAAGGUCUUCGGAUCGUAAAACUCUGUUAUUAGGGAAGAACAUAUGUGUAAGUAACUGUGCACAUCUUGACGGUACCUAAUCAGAAAGCCACGGCUAACUACGUG